rnacentral:rRNA from 1 species
UACAGAGGGUGCGAGCGUUAAUCGGAAUUACUGGGCGUAAAGCGUGCGUAGGCGGUCGUGUAAAGCGGGUGUGAAAGCCCCGGGCUCAAACUGGGAAUUGCAUUCGAGACUGCACGGCUGGAGUGCGGAAGAGGGAAGCGGAAUUUUCGGUGUAGCGGUGAAAUGUGUAGAUAUCGGAAGGAGCAUCAGUGGCGAAAGCGGCUUCCUGGUCCAGCACUGACGCUCAGGCACGAAAGCGUGGGGAGCAAACAGG